rnacentral:rRNA from 1 species
UGGUGGAAUCAUCUGUCUGCUUAAUUGCGAUAACGAACGAGACCUUUACCUGCUAAAUACAAGCGUGAAAGCGAUUUUACGGUUGUUCUUAGAGGGACUGAUUGCAAAAAGCAAUCGGAAGUGAAGGCAAUAACA